GCGGAGGUCUCUGGGCCGGUGCAGGCAGGGGGUGAAACUUUGAGAUCGUGGGUUCAAGUCCAGACCGCUCCAAAAGGCGGCGAACGGAAGCCAGGUGGGAGACUGAAUAGCCUUGAGGCUGGACAGCCUUUCAAAGUCACCACCAUGCUGCAUCGCCCGCAAAGAUGGGGAAACUGAGACCCAGAGAUGGAAAGUCACUUUAAUAAACAGUCCCCUCCUCCCACAGCUUCACUGAGGCAACAUGGAACUGGGAUCUGAACUGGGUGGUUCAGCUCUGUUCUGUGGGUGCUGGGGAGUCACGGGAGGGUUUUUAAGCAGGGAGUGGGGGCUGGUGGUUAUGUGGAGCCCCUGCUGGGCUGGUGGCCAGGAAGGACCACAGCGGGUAGAGCUGGAAGAUCCCAGGGUCGCUAUUCAAAGCUCCCCCAGCCCACCCCAGAGGAUGGUACUUCAUGUUCCAGUUCAAGCUCUUCAAGUGUUUGAGCACACAACUUCACGGCCUCACCCUGAAGGCUAGGUGCGCCCGUUGAUUGGUGCGGUGGCCCCGGUGGCACGGACGGAUUUCCGAGGACCUUCUCCGCAACCCUUCAUAACAAGCCAGCUUGUCACGGGAUGUGGAUAAACCGACAGGUGGGGAUUGGCCCUGUGUUUUUCAAGACCCAGACGUAUGGAUGACAGUACGGGCAACUCAGCAAUCCCAGGCUCUCCGAGAUGCCAUCUGAGACGCACCAGGAGGGAGACAGGGUGUCACCACGAAGGAAUUUAGAUUUCUAUGCUGGGGGUGGGCAACAGCUGAGUGGGUCCAGAGCCUUCCUGGGGGGGGGGGGGACGGGGGAGGGAAGCCUGGGAAAGGCCAUGGAUUUGCUACACAUUAUAAAUAAAGUCUUGCCUUCUGACCCCUGACCCCCCCAAA